rnacentral:rRNA from 1 species
UAAGCAUAUCAAUAAGCGGAGGAAAAGAAACCAACAGGGAUUGCCCUAGUAACGGCGGAGUGAAGCGGCAACAGCUCAAAUUUGAAAUCUGGCUUCGGCCCGAGUUGUAAUUUGCAGAGGAAGCUUUAGGCGCGGCACUUUCUGAGUCCCCUGGAACGGGGCGCCAUAGAGGGUGAGAGCCCCGUAUAGUUAGAUGCCUAGCCUGUGUAAAGCUCCUUCGACGAGUCGAGUAGUUUGGGAAUGCUGCUCAAAAUGGGAGGUAAAUUUCUUCUAAAGCUAAAUACCGGCCAGAGACCGAUAGCGCACAAGUAGAGUGAUCGAAAGAUGAAAAGCACUUUGAAAAGAGGGUUAAAUAGCACGUGAAAUUGUUGAAAGGGAAGCGCUUGUGACCAGACUUGCGCCGGGCAGAUCAUCCGGUGUUCUCACCGGUGCACUCUGCCCGGCUCAGGCCAGCAUCGGUUCUCGCGGGGGGAUAAAGGCCCUGGGAACGUAGCUCCUCCGGGAGUGUUAUAGCCCGGGGCGUAAUGCCCUCGCGGGGACCGAGGUUCGCGCAUCUGCAAGGAUGCUGGCGUAAUGGUCAUCAGCGACCCGUCUUGAAACACGGACCAAGGAGUCAAGGUUUUGCGCGAGUGUUUGGGUGUAAAACCCGCACGCGUAAUGAAAGUGAACGUAGGUGAGAGCUUCGGCGCAUCAUCGACCGAUCCUGAUGUUUUCGGAUGGAUUUGAGUAGGAGCGUUAAGCCUUGGACCCGAAAGAUGGUGAACUAUGCUUGGAUAGGGUGAAGCCAGAGGAAACUCUGGUGGAGGCUCGCAGCGGUUCUGACGUGCAAAUCGAUCGUCAAAUCUGAGCAUGGGGGCGAAAGACUAAUCGAACCAUCUAGUAGCUGGUUACCGCCGAAGU